GCAAUUUUUGUAGAACUAUACAAAGGCCCGUUUACACGACCAUCACCUGUUUCACUUGACCACCACCUUCAAGUUAUACCAAAACUUUUUGUUUUCUACUCGACGCCAGAUCGUUGGGUUCUUGGGGGUAUUUUGCUUGCGGCUGCUACCUUGUCGAUUUCAGUAUGGAAUAUUGUUCAGGUACAAGGUUUCGGUCCACAAAUAAACUAAGCUCAGUAUUUGGUUUUUGUGCCUUGAAACCUUGUCCUCCUUUUAUCAUUCAAAAACAAUACAACUUUUUUGUUUGUCAGAUGGG
rnacentral:lncRNA from 1 species